rnacentral:rRNA from 1 species
AGCGAACGCUGGCGGCAGGCCUAACACAUGCAAGUCGAACGAACCUUUCGGGGUUAGUGGCGGACGGGUGAGUAACACGUGGGAACGUGCCUUUAGGUUCGGAAUAACUCAGGGAAACUUGUGCUAAUACCGAAUGUGCCCUUCGGGGGAAAGAUUAAUCGCCUUUAGAGCGGCCCGCGUCUGAUUAGCUAGUUGGUUGAGGUAAUGGCUCACCAAGGCGACGAUCAGUAGCUGGUCUGAGAGGAUGAUCAGCCACAUUGGGACUGAGACACGGCCCAAACUCCUACGGGAGGCAGCAGUGGGGAAUCUUGCGCAAUGGGCGAAAGCCUGACGCAGCCAUGCCGCGUGAAUGAUGAAGGUCUUAGGAUUGUAAAAUUCUUUCGCCGGGGACGAUAAUGACGGUACCCGGAGAAGAAGCCCCGGCUAACUUCGU